rnacentral:rRNA from 1 species
UUAUAUGAUGGCAUCAUUAUAUAAUUAAAGUCACAACGGUAAAAGAUGAGCAUGCGUCCCAUUAGCUAGUUGGUAAGGUAACGGCUUACCAAGGCGACGAUGGGUAGGGGUCCUGAGAGGGAGAUCCCCCACACUGGUACUGAGACACGGACCAGACUCCUACGGGAGGCAGCAGCGAGGAAUAUUGGUCAAUGGACGCAAGUCUGAACCAGCCAUGCCGCGUGCAGGAUGACGGUCCUAUGGAUUGUAAACUGCUUUUGUACAGGAAGAAACCCUUGCUCGUGAGCAAGAUUGACGGUACUGUAAGAAUAAGGAUCGGCUAACUCCGUGCCAGCAGCCGCGGUAAUACGGAGGAUCCAAGCGUUAUCCGGAAUCAUUGGGUUUAAAGGGUCCGUAGGCGGCCUAGCAAGUCAGUGGUGAAAUCUCCCCGCUCAACGGGGAAACGGCCAUUGAUACUACUGGGCUUGAAUUAUUAGGAAGUAACUAGAAUAUGUAGUGUAGCGGUGAAAUGCUUAGAUAUUACAUGGAAUACCAAUUGCGAAGGCAGGUUACUACUAAUGGAUUGACGCUGAUGGACGAAAGCGUGGGGAGCGAACAGGAUUAGAUACCCUGGUAGUCCACGCCGUAAACGAUGGAUACUAGCUGUUGGGCGCAAGUUCAGUGGCUAAGCGAAAGUGAUAAGUAUCCCACCUGGGGAGUACGA